rnacentral:rRNA from 1 species
AGAGUUUGAUCAUGGCUCAGAACGAACGCCAGCGGCGUGGAUUAGGCAUGCAAGUCGAACGGACACCGUAGCAAUACGGUGUUAGUGGCGGAAGGGUGAGUAAUGCAUAGAUAACCUGCCCCCGAGACCGGGAUAACUCCGGGAAACCGGAGCUAAGACCGGAUGGGAUCACUGGAUCGCCUGGUUCGGUGAUUAAAGGAGGCCUCUGAAUAUGCUCCCGCUCGGGGAGGGAUCUAUGUCCUAUCAGCUAGUUGGUGAGGGUAAUGGCCCACCAAGGCAUUGACGGGUAGCCGGCCUUAGCGGGUGUCCGGCCACAUUAGGACUGAGACACUGCCCAAACUCCUACGGGAGGCUGCAGUCGAGGAUCUUCCGCAAUGAGCGCAAGCUUGACGGAGCGACGCCGCGUGUGGGAUGAAGGCCUUCGGGUUGUAAACCACUGUCACUCGUUAAGAAAGGGUUGGGGGUUAACAGCCUCCAGCACUGACGAAGGCGAGAGAGGAAGCCACGGCUAACUUCGUGCCAGCAGCCGCGGUAAUAC